CUUUGAGAUAUUCUCCGUUGGAAAGUGUUUCUUUUAGAUUCACUUAGAUGGAAUUACCUUUUUUCUAGGUAAGUCGGAUUUUAAUAUUUCUCGCGCUGACGAAGACUGUUGUAAUUAACGCGGUAACUGUUGAUAUCCACGGGGAACUUAUCUUCGUUUUUUACCUUGAAAUUCUGCUUUUACGAUCUGCAUACAACUGUAUCUGUUCAUCGGUCUGACUCACAUUGAUCGAAUUCUGCUUUUGGAGUAGAGCUUUUAUUCAAUACCUGAACCUGUGGUGUGGACGAACAAUUCUUUCUCUGUUUGGCAGAGGAUUGUCAAGAUAUUCCAAUUUUCUUUUUUUUUUUAGCUCUGAUUAUCGCGUCGUCGGUUCAACUUCUUGGCGAAAAUAUUGUUAUAUUUUAUGUGACAACAAAUAUCUCAUGUUUGAUAUAUCAAUUUUCAUGGAUGGAUUGCUUACACACGAGCGAGGCAUCUUGAACAAGCACAAUUUUAGGUUACAAAACGUUUCGAGCAUAUCCAUUUCGCAGAAUCGACCGUUUACGUUCGAAAACCUACAUUCCUUGGAUUCUGCACGUACAUGAAAAAAAAUCGUUAACACGUUAGUCCACGUACGCGUAACCUUUUCUUGGAUGUUGAAAAUUUUCACUGUCUGAAAAUCGAUGCUUUUGUAGGAAGCAAGUGUCUCGAGUUUUUUUCCUAAGCAGAAGUAGCGAGUGACUGGAUAUUCGGAGGACCUUGUUUCGAGAACAUUGGUCCUUAUACAAGGAUGUAUCAGUUAGAUGUAUUUGUACACAAUAGUUGACUAACGUUUGCAAGGCCAUUCUUGGACUAGUCGGAAGGCGAAUCAUGUUUCUACCGGGAAUACAUGCAUUUUUUUUUUUUUUUUCUUACAAGAUCAAACGGUUUCUUUAAGGUGCGUGAACCCAAGCCGACGCCUGGGUGUUAACGUUACCGCAUUAGUCACGUCUGAUGUACAUACGAAAAACGAAGUGCCUUUCCUGUAUAUUUUCUGCCUGUUACACUCAUUAACGCGUUACUUUCCAUUUCAAGAUGUGCGAACGAAAGUGCCCCUUGGCUGACGAGGUCUUCAGACGAGAGAAAAAGAGAGAGGAUACUAAACCACAAACAUGGAAAUUCUUUGCUGAAAUUUGGAACAUUGGUGCAGCUCGUAUUAUGCAGUGUCCCAGAAAGCAUAUAUAUAUAUAUAUAUAUAUAUAUAUAUAUAUAUAUACUUGAUUCCUUCCCGAUCGUUGAAAUACCAGUACACCACUCUAAAGAAAAUCCUGUUAGACAUUCUGAAAAAAUCUUAUCGCGACGUAUGGGUACAUUGACGUGUAUAUUACACGCUGCUCGCUGCAUUCGCAGAUGUGAACGCCUACCAAGAAUUGGAUAUCGAAAAAUCGAUCCGUUUGUCGGAAAAGGGGAAGAGGCGAAAAUGUCAAUGGACAUCGCAAGUGUUGAAUAAUUUUCGUCGUUGGAUUGAAGGAGCCCACUCAUCAGGGCGUGCGUCAUCAGAAAAUUUUGAACAACCAUCAGGAUGUCGCGUUUCGUACGCCGAUAACACGAUCGUUACUUUUUAUUGAAAAAACGAGUAACUUGAUUUGUUGCUAGACUUCUUUUUUUUCCUCGUGCUGCCACACUCUGUACGUGAGCUGUUGGUAUCGAUUGUAUAGUUCCAUUGGCAAAGUGACCUGCCCACCCGUGUACACAUCGUCUAUUACGAUUACUCAUUUGACACGCGUAAGUGUUAUCGAUGAUCGUGCAGCUUUGGGUCAGCAGGAAUUUAGAAAAUUGCCAUUCAAAUUCUCCUCGACACGACAGGAAUUAUUAAUGAGGAAAUUUUCGUUUUUAUCUAUAUACCGCAAUAGAAGCUCCUACAGUCUCCGAAAUAGAGAUAUACAUAUCAUGUUCGUAUCUUCGAAUCGGUUUGAACACAUUGAGUGCCACGUGUAUCGAAUUUGGUAUACGGUGAACCUCAUUUAUAAGUAUAAUUUAUUUAUAUGUAUAUAUAUAUAUAUAUAUAUAUAUAUAUAUAUAUAUAUAAAUGAGUUCACCGUAUACUAAAUUUGAUACACGUGGCACUCAACGUAUUAAUCGAUCGUUACAUGAAAACCAACAUAUAUAUUACAUAUGUAUAUGUAUAUGUAUAUAUCGUUGCAAAAUAUUGAGUGGAGAAUCGAUCGAGAUUUCUAAGUUGAGUAACGGUGAAAGUCUUUGAACGCUGGAUCCUUUACUGAUAACAGAUGUUUCGUGCGAAAGUAGUUCCCGGGGCCGCUUCCUGCGCGAAGUUGCCGUUACUAUAUUAUCGGUUUACGAAUGUUGCCACGAAGUUAAAGCCUAUUAGUGACAUAACGUUCCUUGAAUGUGGCCAGGGGACCGUCUUACGUUCGCACGCCGAUCAAUGGUAUCGGUAUGUACAGGGUGUCUCGUAGUUAGUGGCAGGAGGUGACUACGUGAAGAAACGUCAAAAGGAAAGAACAAAGUUUGUUUUCGAGAAAAUUUGAUUUGAGAAAAAAUUGUAGAUCAAGUAUACUUGAAUUUAGUUAAUUCUAAACGUGACAGAGGAGAAUAAUUAACGUAAGGUCGUUCCACGUGCGAAAAUAAACGUAAGACUUGGAAUAAAAUUUCUUUGCAAGACGUCUUGUUCUUGAGGAGAUCCAGUUCAAAGAUUUAUCAAUUACAAUUGUGUAUCAAGGCAAUUUUUGAAGAAAUGUUGAUGUACCAAGGGAACAUGUUUGAGCAUUUUUUUGAAAAGAACAAAUUUUGUUCUAGGCUUUAUUUUUGCAUGUAGAAUAUCCUCGAGUGUUGAUUAUUCACGCUUGUCGACUUAAUUAAAUUGAAGCAUACUCAAUAAAUUUUCAAACUCGGUUUCCUCGAAAGCAGAGGCUUUAACGAACAAAUGUUAUUCUUUCUAUUCUUUCUUCUCUGUUUUUCACGUAGAAGCACUUCCUGCUUGGUUAUACUAUCAGUUGAGGGCCACCCUGUAUAUUCCUUUACAAUCUGUACUGUGUUUAUGGUACUACUAAACGGCAAUACAAUAGAAUUUAAAUUUCAAGCUGAAGUCUUUUUUUUUCUGUCUUGAUUGUUGAUAAAUCGUUCUAAUUUUCAGCAACUGUCGACUUUCAGAGUGUACAGUUUUCUCGUGAAGCUGUUUGACACUUGUCCUUACAUAUUGAAAUCUCUUAUAAUACGUAUAUACGUGUGCUUGCACAAUGCAAAUAUCCAAUAGCAUUUGUUGCCAGCCAUUUUGGAUAAUUUGAAUAUUCGUUGGAUUGUAAGAUGAAGGAUUUGUUUUCUAUUCAACUCGUUCUGGACCUUUCAACGCACAUAAAUUACAUCAACACUUUCCCUGCGGGUUGCCUGUACGAAAUAUGUAUCAUUUAUUAGAACUAUCGUUGCGGAGAUUUUAUAAAUAAUUGUACAGUUUUAUUAUUUCAACGCUAUAGUAACUGAAACAUCAAAACAUUCGCUUAGAUGAUACAGAUAUUUUUGACGAAAUUAAUAUUAAUUUCUGUCUGGAACAUGAUUGUGGUCAAGCACGUAUGGCAACAACUCUGUUAAAAGAAUUGGGCGAAUGUUAACAUCGAUAAUUUUUAUGAACAUGAAACAAUGAGACCAAAAAGAGUGAAUCCCAUCGCGUGGAAAUUUUGGAAGAAACUACGUAAGUUUCAAUUGGAAAAAAAAAGUAUUUCGUAUGAAUUAAUCUACGUAUCUACAUAUCUAAUGUGCAUAUCUAUAUUUUUAACUUUGCCAAUAUAAUCGCGACAAGCGUGUUUUGUAUUGCAGUGCUGGUAAAAUUUUUAAAACGCACGAUUUUAUAUUUGUAAUUAACGACGGUACGUAUAUUCAUAAGCAGUCUGUGCGUGUUUGAAUAUUUUUUGUGAGGUCAGGAUAAAUUAAU